ACUCGAUUAGUUUAUUUUUAAAAUAUGGCUCUGAAGAAGCUAAGAAUGAUUCGGGUA
rnacentral:tRNA from 1 species